rnacentral:tRNA from 1 species
GCGGGCAUGGUGGAAUUGGCAGACGCGCAGGAUUUAGGUUCCUGUACCAUUGGUGUGUGGGUUCAAGUCCCACUGCCCGCACCA